GGUGAACGCUGGCGGCGUGCUUAAGACAUGCAAGUCGAACGGCAGUCUUCGGACUGUAGUGGCGCACGGGUGAGUAACGCGUAACUGACCUACCCCAAAGUCGCGGAUAACGAUUCGAAAGAAUCGCUAAUACGUAAUGUGCUGUCAGAUUGUGUUCUGCCAGUAAAGAUUGAUUGCUUUGGGAUGGGGUUGCGUUCCAUCAGCUAGUUGGUGGGGGAAAGGCCCACCAAGGCGACGACGGAUAGCCGGCCUGAGAGGGUGGCCGGCCACAGGGGCACUGAGACACGGGUCCCACUCCUACGGGAGGCAGCAGUUAGGAAUCUUCCACAAUGGGCGAAAGCCUGAUGGAGCGACGCCGCGUGAGGGAUGAAGGUCUUCGGAUCGUAAACCUCUGAAUCAGGGACGAAAGACACUUCGGUGGGAUGACGGUACCUGAGUAAUAGCACCGGCUAACUCCGUGCCAGCAGCCGCCGUAAUAC
rnacentral:rRNA from 1 species